rfam:Medicago truncatula strain A17 chromosome 6, whole genome shotgun sequence.
AUAUAAGUAAAAUUGACUUUUUAGGUUCAUUCAAUUAAUGAUGUAUAUGGUUCAUAAUAUGAACCACAUACAUUAUUAAUUGAAUGAACCUAAAAAGUCAAUUUUGCUUAUAU